AAAAAAGCAAAAAAGAGCGAACGGUGGAUGCCUUGGCUCUGGGAGGCGAAGAAGGACGUGACAAGCUGCGAAAAGCUUGGGGGAGGUGCAAAUAACCGUCGAUCCCGAGAUGUCCGAAUGGGGGAACCCGGCACAGUGAAGCUGUGUCAUUCUGUUUAAGACAGAAGGCAAACGUGGGGAACUGAAACAUCUUAGUACCCAUAGGAGAAGAAAACAAAAGUGAUUGCGCAAGUAGUGGCGAGCGAACGCGCAGGAGCCCAAACCAAUGCUGUAGAGAUGCAGGAUUGGGGUAAUAGGACUGCCCGCAUAGUAGAGAGACACAGAACUGGAACAUAUCUGGAAAGAUAGACCGAAGGAGGUGAAAGUCCGGUACAGGUAAAGUGUUGAUUUACGGGCAAAAUCCUGAGUAGCGCGGGACACGAGAAAUCCUGUGUGAAAUUGGCGGGACCAUCCGCUAAGGCUAAAUACUCCCCAGAGACCGAUAGUGAACCAGUACUGUGAAGGAAAGGUGAAAAGCACUCCGAAUAGGAGGGUGAAAGAGAUCCUGAAACCGUUCGCUUACAAGCGGUCGGAGUUUCGCCUAAGGCGGAAUGACGGCGUGCCUUUUGCAUAAUGAACCUACGAGUUACUUACACUGGCGAGGUUAAGCUUUUAAGGAGCGGAGCCGAAGCGAAAGCGAGUCUGAAGAGGGCGAAAUCAAUAGUCAGUGUGAGUAGACGCGAAACCAAGUGAUCUACCCUUGAGCAGGCUGAAGUUUCGGUAACACGGGAUGGAGGGCCGAACCGGUAAACGUUGAAAAGUUUUCGGAUGACUUGAGGGUAGGGGUGAAAGGCUAAUCAAACUUGGAGAUAGCUCGUACUCCCCGAAAUGCAUUUAGGUGCAGCCUUGUGUUAAAGAGUUUAUAAGAGGUAGAGCGACUGAUUGGAUGCGAGGGUUUCAACGCCUAUCAAGUCCAGACAAACUCCGAAUGGUUAUAAAUGAUACACAGGAGUGAGGGCGCGGGUGCUAAGGUCCGUGUCCGAGAGGAGAAGAAUCCAGACCAUCAGCUAAGGUCCCGAAAUAUAUGCUAAGUUGAAACAAACGAAGUCCGGCUGCUAAGACAGCUAGGAUGUUGGCUUGGAAGCAGCCAUUCAUUCAAAGAGUGCGUAACAGCUCACUAGUCGAGCGGCCAGGCAUGGAUAAUAAUCGGGCAUAAGCAUAUUACCGAAGCUAUGGGAUCGAGAGAUCGGUAGGGGAGCAUUCCGGCGGCGUAGAAGGUUUAUCGGGAGAUAGGCUGGAGCUUCCGGAAAAGCAAAUGUAGGUAUAAGUAACGAUAAUGCGGGCGAGAAACCCGCACGCCGGGAGACUAAGGGUUCCUGAUCAACGAUAAUCGGAUCAGGGUAAGUCGGGGCCUAAGAUUCAUCCCAAGGGAGAGGUCGAUGGAAGAACAGGUUAAUAUUCCUGUACUACUUAAUGGAGUGAAGCAGGGACGCAGGAGUGAAAGUCCGGCGUGCUGACGGAAUAGCACGUUAAAGGGAGUAGAUGUAGAGGAAAGCAGGCAAAUCCGUUUUCCGAGUCGAACCUGAUAGUACCGAGCGCACUUGUGCAAUCGGAUAAGGAUGUAAGCAGGCUGCCAAGAAAAACUGCUAAGCGAUAAUUCAUUAAGUACCCGUACUCAAAACGGACACACGUAGUCGAGUAGAAAAUACUAAGGCGCUCGAGAGAUUCACAGCUAAGGAACUAGGCAAAAUAGUCAUGUAACUUCGGGAAAAAUGACGCCUCCCCGUGUUGAGCGGGAGGCCGCAGAGAAAUGGCCCAGGCGACUGUUUACCAAAAACACAGGGCUUUGCAAAAACGAAAGUUGAGGUAUAAGGCCUGACACCUGCCCGGUGCCGGAAGGUUAAGAGGAGAUGUUAGCCGCAAGGCGAAGCAUUGAAUUGAAGCCCCGGUAAACGGCGGCCGUAACUAUAACGGUCCUAAGGUAGCGAAAUUCCUUGUCGGGUAAGUUCCGACCUGCACGAAUGGUGUAACGAUCUGGGCACUGUCUCAGCUGUGAGCUCGGUGAAAUUGUAGUAUCGGUGAAGAUGCCGAUUACCCGCAACGGGACGGAAAGACCCCGUGAACCUUUACUGCAGCUUUACAUUGUAUUUGGGUAACUGAUGUGUAGGAUAGGCCGGAGACAGUGAAGCAUGCGCGCCAGCGUGUGUGGAGUCGACGUUGAAAUACGGCCCUUUGGUUAUUUGAGUACUAACUCCGCCAAAGCGGAGGACACUGUAUGGUGGGUAGUUUGACUGGGGUGGUCGCCUCCAAAAGAGUAACGGAGGCUUCCAAAGGUGCGCUCAGGCCGAUUGGUAACCGGUCGCAGAGCAUAAUGGUACAAGCGCGCUUGACUGAGAGACCGACAAGUCGAACAGGUAGGAAACUAGGGCAUAGUGAUCCGGUGGUUCCGUAUGGAAGGGCCAUCGCUCAAAGGAUAAAAGGUACUCCGGGGAUAACAGGCUGAUCAUUCCCAAGAGCUCAUAUCGACGGAAUGGUUUGGCACCUCGAUGUCGGCUCGUCACAUCCUGGGGCUGGAGAAGGUUCCAAGGGUUGGGCUGUUCGCCCAUUAAAGUGGCACGCGAGCUGGGUUCAGAACGUCGUGAGACAGUUCGGUCCCUAUCUGUUGUGGGCGUAGGAAAUUUGAGGAGGACUGGCACUAGUACGAGAGGACCGUGCUGGACGAACCGCUGGUGCAUGAGUUGUUUCGCCAGGAGCAUAGCUCAGUAGCCAAGUUCGGUUAGGAUAAGCGCUGAAAGCAUCUAAGCGCGAAGCCAUCUUCAAGAAGAGAUUUCCAUUGAGGGUCGUUGAAGACGACGACGUAGAUAGGUUACAGGUGUAAGACAGAGAUGUAUAGCCGAGUAAUACUAAUAGCCCGAAAGCUUUUUUAU
rnacentral:rRNA from 1 species